rnacentral:rRNA from 1 species
AGAUUGAACGCUGGCGGCAGGCCUAACACAUGCAAGUCGAGCGGUAGAGAGGUGCCUGCACCUCUUGAGAGCGGCGGACGGGUGAGUAAUGCCUAGGAAUCUGCCUAGUGGUGGGGGAUAACGUUCGGAAACGGACGCUAAUACCGCAUACGUCCUACGGGAGAAAGCGGGGGACCUUCGGGCCUCGCGCCAUUAGAUGAGCCUAGGUCGGAUUAGCUAGUUGGUGAGGUAAUGGACGUCACCCAAAGGCGACGAUCCGUAACUGGUCUGAGAGGAUGAUCAGUCACACUGGAACUGAGACACGGUCCAGACUCCUACGGGAGGCAGCAGUGGGGGAAUAUUGGACAAUGGG